rnacentral:tRNA from 9 species
GCCUCUGUGGCGGAACUGGUAGACGCGACGGAUUCAAAAUCCGUUUCUGGUGACAGAGUGCCGGUUCGAGUCCGGCCAGAGGUACCA